rnacentral:rRNA from 1 species
AGAGUUUGAUCCUGGCUCAGAAUCAACGCUGGCGGCGCGCUUAACACAUGCAAGUCGCACGAGAAAGUGGAGCAAUCCAUGAGUACAGUGGCGUACGGGUGAGUAACACGUGGAUCAUCUACCUCUUGAUGGGGAAUAACCCUGGGAAACCGGGGCUAAUACCGCAUAAGCCUGGAAAGGGAAAGCAGCAAUGCGUCGAGAGAGGAGUCCGCGGCCGAUUAGCUAGUUGGUAGGGUAAAGGCCUACCAAGGCAAUGAUCGGUAGCCGGCCUGAGAGGGCACACGGCCACACUGGCACUGAAACACGGGCCAGACUCCUACGGGAGGCAGCAGUGGGGAAUCUUGCACAAUGGAGGAAACUCUGAUGCAGCGACGCCGCGUGAGUGAUGAAGCCCUUCGGGGUGUAAAGCUCUUUCGGCAGGAACGAUAAUGACGGUACCUGCAGAAGAAGCUGCGGCUAACUACGUGCCAGCAGCCGCGGUAAUACGUAGGCAGCAAGCGUUGUUCGGAAUUACUGGGCGUAAAGAGUGUGUAGGCGGUUCUCUAAGUUCCGUGUGAAAUCUCCCGGCUCAACUGGGAGGGUGCGCGGGAAACUGGAGGGCUCGAGUAUGGGAGAGGAAAGCGGAAUUCCUGGUGUAGCGGUGAAAUGCGUAGAUAUCAGGAGGAACACCUGCGGUGUAGACAGCUUUCUGGACCAUCACUGACGCUGAGACACGAAAGCGUGGGUAGCAAACAGGAUUAGAUACCCUAGUAGUCC